CGGCUCGGCAGAAAGGAAAUAGAAGACUACUUUGUACAAAACAUAGGAGAGCUCAUGGAUGACCGGAAGGAAAAGCGCAUCGUACGGAAUGAUGUGGUUGAUCUCCUCUUGAAAAUGAAGGAAGGUCAACUUUCUGGUGACGUGGACUCUAAGCAAGAGAUGGAAAACCAAAAAGCGGUGACAGAAGACAAAACACUCAAGCUGACGAAUGAACUCUUGGCUAGCCAGCUGAUGUCCUUCCUGGGUGCCGGCUUCGAAACAUCG